UGGGGAGUGUCAACCUAGAAUAAUUUCCGCAGAAACCUGCCCGGCCGAGUGGAAAGCAGGUCCUUGUUCAUGCGUGUCCUUGAUCGGCUUUCCGACCACUUAGACCACACUAGUGAGACUAGGUCAUCUGGCCAGUCAAUGGGCAGUGAUGCUCUGGUCAGAGGGGAGCCACGUGCGAGACGGCUCACAGAAGCUUCUGGAACACCGCAGCCGAAUGACUUCCAAGUGACACAUGCUGAGCGGAGAGGGGAUUAAGACGGGGUCUUGCUACGCAGUUCAGCUGGCCUUGAGCUCACUUUGUAGCCCAGGUUGGUCUCGAACUUGCAAGGAUCCUCCUGCCUCAGCCUCCCAAACGCUGCGAUUUUAGAACAUCACCAUGCCCAGCUGAUGUGUGUGAUUUUUCAGGCCGUUUCUCUGAAUAAUUUGCGGAGGGAAAAUGGCCUUCCACAUGCAUAGCCUGACUCUCUCCAAAGCAGAAACCUCAGGGCCCCCUUUCUUUCCUCUGAACCAGAGGGGAAGAUCCCCUUUCUCUUCCAGCCCCGGGCGAGAACAACGUUCCAUUGAUGACGUGAAUGGAGUGUUUCUUACCCCGGACUCCUCCUGCCGCAGAGGCAGGGACAUUUUCUCCCCCCCUGGCUUCGGAAGGUUGUGAGCCAGGUUGUCUGGAGGCGAUGAGGCUGGCCGGGCUUCCUGAUUCUGGCCGAUCUCCCCAAGGAAGGGGGCUCAUUUUGCCUGUGGCUUCUGGUGGGUGCCAGUCCCUCCGCCUGACCCCUGUGCCCACCAUCUCAGCUCUGUAUGCCCUCACCCUGCUGCCACUUUCACUGUUGCCAGCUGGUCUGUUCGCCCUCCCAGGGAAACCCGAGCUCCAAAAAAGUUACAGACGCUGAACUGUCCAUUGUGGUGCCCGGCAGAUGGUUGGUGCUCGGUAUGCGGGAACUGAAUGAAGCAAGGCCAGCUGAAAGCUACUUCUAAUUUCUAAAAUCCAGAAGAUGCUUUUCUGAACAAUGGAUGAGGGAGGUCAGCUGCAGUUGUUUGGGGGCUUCCAGAAGGGCCUAAUUGAUCCUGGGUCGGGGUGAUUUGUGCAGUACCUUCUACGGCUCUGCAAACGAGGCGUGCAGAGGGGAUGGCUUUGGGCCAUUUCAAAAGCACAGAAUUCAGCUGCUGAGAGAAAAGCUCGCAUGUGAGAGCAGAAGAAUAAAUGCAGGCUGAACCAGCAGGGACAGCCGGGGGUGGGGGCGGCGGUACAUCUGCAGCCUCGGUGAGUUCAGGCAGCUGCGGGGAUGCCAGGUGUCCACCUGUCAGUGCUACAGGACUGGCGUCCAGUAAUCCGUGCCCUGGGGGUGUCUGGCAUCUGCACCCUGCAUGUGCUCUGCAGAGUGUACCCCGAAACUGAGCUCGUAUUUCCAGGAAGUGCACACUGACUGCUUGUUCUCUGUCGCCUCCCCCCCUCCCUCUUCCUUUUCUAUCUCGCAGCUUUCUGCAAAUUAAAAAGCAAGUCAGGAAGCAAUGUUAAAAAUAAUCAAACCACAGCUAAAGGAAAGCACUAUCAAAAGAACGGGGUGGGGGGGAUCAACUUGGAUAUUCUUCUCCAGGGCUGUCUACUGGAGGCCCUGUGAUUAUUCAUUCUGAGAAACCCGCUGGGGCCUGGGGGAGUUCAUGGGGCCAGCAUGACUUUUCUUUCUGUACUGCUUACACAGGCCAUAAAAAUUCGCAUUGGCUCUUUGGCCAAAAGCCGGAAAAAGUCACGCCACGGGGUGGGAAGAAUGUUAAUCAAAAUGGAAAACCUACAGCUCCGGUUUCCCUGUGCUGGGUGGGCUUUUUGCUGUCAGCUCGCCCCUCUCGACUCACAAUCAGCUUCAGGUAGCAGAGGCCUGACGGCAGGAAGCACUGAACACCCCAUUCUGGAGAAUCAGAGCCCCCCAACACCUGCACUCACCCGCCCAACAUUGGGUGUGCCGGACCUGGGGCUUCCAAGGGGCUCUGCACCAAGCUCUAGGGUUAGCAAGAGACAACUGGGAGUCUGGGGGCUCGGGGAAUAAGGUGAGCAGCCUCAGAGAGAAGCCAUGGUCAUUUCAAUUUCUUCUUCUUCUUUGUUUUUAAAGGCUCAUAGAACAUCAAAUGUGAAAAGAUGUCAAAACAGAGCCCCCAAACUGUGGCAUGAUCUUAUUUACUUAUGUAUUCAUUCUGUUUUUGAGACAAGCUUUGGCUCUGUAGUGUAGGCUGGAGUAGAUUUCACUCUAUCCUGGGCUGGCCCCAACUCACUGUGCUCCUCCUGCCUCAGCCUCCCAAGUGCUGGGAUUCCUGGAGUAGUUUAAAAUAAUGACACUGAACAAGUUAGCAACUUUACUGUUCACUGGUCUUGCCCCUAUGUAUUAAAAAUAGGAACUCAGCACCCUGCAGGUGGCCAGCGGACACUAGCUUAUCUGGUAGCAUCUUCCUGUUUUGUAAGAGGGUCUUAGGACCCUGCAGGUAGGAAGUCUGGACCGAGUUCUCUGAGUGUGGGGAGCCCUCCUCCACCUGGGGCCAUGCCCAAAGCUUAGCCACUGUUUGGUCAGAGCAGGCAGAGGAGCCUGCUGGGGCCUGGUCUGCAGGCUGAGUGGGCGGGGCAGCGAGGAUGAGCUGGAUGAGCUGGCCUCUCUCUCUAGCUCCUGGGCUCUCCAAACACCGGGUUUGUCCAGGACAUUUUCUCUGACUCACCCUCGGGGAUAAGACAGGUGAUAGCCUUGGGGCCAGUGGGCCAGCAGGAGGGAGGCACUGGAUUCUUUACAGUCAGACGCUUGAUUUCAGAUCUGGCAAGCUUCUUGACAAAACUGCUGUAGGUUUGACAGAACUGAAGUUGAGCUGAGAGCUAGAAUAAACCAUGGGUGACAAUAAACAGCAGGCUGAGCCCACUGCAGGUGACCCAGGGAAACUUGAUGCUCAGGUGCUCCAUAGAUGCCCUUAGCUAUGCAUUCAGCCAGUAUCUACUGAGCUCCUUCAAACCCCGGCCAAGUGCUGGAGAGACAAUGGUGAGCAUGGCCCAGCUGGCCCCUUCUGGAAGGAAGCCUGCUGUGUGUGGGAAGGGGUAGGUGUGUGUGUGUGCACACGUGUGUGCACAUGUAGGUGGAAGAUCUUACUGAACAUUACAAAAUGACAGAAGCAACCACAGCUUUCCGGGCAAUAAAGGAGAAGCAUAUGGGCUAUAAGCACAUACAAUAACCUGGGGUCUGAUUUGGAGAGGCAGCUCCUCUGUUUUCCUGUUGAAAACAGAUACUGAGUGGGAUCUGAGAGAUGAGAAGGGAAGGAAGAGGCAGAAGAUGGCUUCUGGCAACAAAAGCGGCAUGUGCAAAGGCUCUGUGGUAGAAGAGAGGAGACCGUAAGAAACUGAGAAGCAGGGCUGGAGUGGAGCA